UAAGUUUGAAAGCUUUUACUUUUCUUCUGUUUGAAGGGAAAACAUGGAGAAUCCUACACUUUUUCGGUGACAACGCCUGAUGUAGUUCCAGAAAAGUGACUGCCCAUUUGGAUUGGAGCAGAGAAUGAGAAGAAUAUUAUCUUGUGCUACAGCAAAACAAGAUCGCUGUCUGAUAUGAAGAACCUUUUGAAUUGUGAUAUCCAAUUAAAACCAUUGGGAAAACAGGGUCUAAAACAGCAACAACAAUAAAUCUCCAGACAAACAGGCAGACAAAUAGACAGGUAGAACUAUAGAAAGGAGUAAUGGUGGGAAAAGGACUCAACCUUAAUUUUCAAGGAUACAGAGCUGAAAAAUGAGUGCAGCACAGCAGCAGUAAAUGGGGGAAAAAAGGUCCGUAAAAUUAUCUCUCGUAAAUUUGAUUUGAAAUGAGUUUCUUGAGUCUUAUUAUUAAACUCCCGCUUAUUUGUUUUUUAGAUAAUUGAAUUUUUCAUGUCAAGAGAAUGAUGAGCUUAAAAACAUUAAGAAGAAUAAGAAAGUAAAUUAAGUUAAUAUGAAAAAUUGAAGAACUUGACUG